GGAUGAACGCUGGCGGCGUGCCUAAUACAUGCAAGUCGAGCGAACAGACGAGGAGCUUGCUCCUCUGACGUUAGCGGCGGACGGGUGAGUAACACGUGGAUAACCUACCUAUAAGACUGGGAUAACUUCGGGAAACCGGAGCUAAUACCAGAUAAUAUAUUGAACCGCAUGGUUCAAUAGUGAAAGACGGUUUUGCUGUCACUUAUAGAUGGAUCCGCGCCGCAUUAGCUAGUUGGUAAGGUAACGGCUUACCAAGGCAACGAUGCGUAGCCGACCUGAGAGGGUGAUCGGCCACACUGGAACUGAGACACGGUCCAGACUCCUACGGGAGGCAGCAGUAGGGAAUCUUCCGCAAUGGGCGAAAGCCUGACGGAGCAACGCCGCGUGAGUGAUGAAGGUCUUCGGAUCGUAAAACUCUGUUAUUAGGGAAGAACAAAUGUGUAAGUAACUAUGCACGUCUUGACGGUACCUAAUCAGAAAGCCACGGCUAACUACGUG
rnacentral:rRNA from 1 species